rfam:Actinobacteria bacterium RBG_13_55_18 RBG_13_scaffold_14, whole genome shotgun sequence.
CUCGGUGGCCAUAGCGGAGGUGAUCACCUGUUCCCAUUCCGAACACAGAAGUUAAGCCCUCCCACGCCGAUGGUACUGCUCGGGAGACCGUGUGGGAGAGUAGGUAGCUGCCGGAA